rnacentral:rRNA from 1 species
AUGCACGCUGGCGGCGUGCCUAAUACAUGCAAGUCGAGCGAACGGACGAGAAGCUUGCUUCUCCGAUGUUAGCGGCGGACGGGUGAGUAACACGUGGAUAACCUACCUAUAAGACUGGGAUAACUUCGGGAAACCGUAGCUAAUACCGGAUAAUAUUUUGAACCGCAUGGUUCAAAAGUGAAAGACGGUCUUGCUGUCACUUAUAGGUGGAUCCGCGCUGCAUUAGCUAGUUGGUAAGGUAACGGCUUACCAAGGCAACGAUGCAUAGCCGACCUGAGAGGGUGAUCGGCCACACUGGAACUGAGACACGGUCCAGACUCCUACGGGAGGCAGCAGUAGGGAAUCUUCCGCAAUGGGCGAAAGCCUGACGGAGCAACGCCGCGUGAGUGAUGAAGGUCUUCGGAUCGUAAAACUCUGUUAUUAGGGAAGAACAUAUGUGUAAGUAACUGUGCACAUCUUGACGGUACCUAAUCAGAAAGCCACGGCUAACUACGUG